AGGGUUCGAUUCUGGCUCAGGACGAACGCUGGCGGCGUGCCUAACACAUGCAAGUCGAGCGGGGACAUUGCGACGGAGACGAAGUAUCGUACGGAGUCAAAGAUGUAAUGUCUAGCGGCGGACGGGUGAGUAACGCGUGAGCAACCUGUCCCUUACAGGGGGAUAACACAGCGAAAGUUGUACUAAUACCGCAUAAGACCACAGGAUGACAUCGUCCAGGGGUCAAAGGAGCAAUCCGGUAAGGGGUGGGCUCGCGUCCGAUUAGAUAGUUGGUGAGGUAACGGCCCACCAAGUCGACGAUCGGUAGCCGACCUGAGAGGGUGAUCGGCCACAUUGGGACUGAGACACGGCCCAAACUCCUACGGGAGGCAGCAGGUGGGGAAUAUUGGGCAAAGUGGGGGAAACCCUGACCCAGCAACGCCGCGUGAGGGAAGAAGGUUUUCGGAUCGUAAACCUCUGUCCCAGGUGAAGAGGAAGAGACGGUAGCCUGGGAGGAAGCCCCGGCUAACUACGUGCCAGCCGCCGC
rnacentral:rRNA from 1 species